rnacentral:rRNA from 1 species
UUCGGUCCUGAGUAAAGCGGCGGACGGGUGAGUAACACGUAGGUAAUCUUCCCUUGAGCGGGGGACAACGGUCCGAAAGGACCGCUAAUACCGCAUACGUUUCCGAGGAUCUCGGUCCUUGGAAGGAAAGCUAGGUCGCAAGAUCCGGCACUCGAGGAGGAGCCUGCGUCGCAUCAGCUAGUUGGUGGGGUAAUGGCCUACCAAGGCGAAGACGCGUAGCUGGUCUGAGAGGAUGAUCAGCCACACUGGGACUGAGACACGGUCCAGACUCCUACGGGAGGCAGCAGUGGGGAAUUUUGGACAAUGGGCGCAAGCCUGAUCCAGCCAUGCCGCGUGAGUGAAGAAGGCCUUCGGGUUGUAAAGCUCUUUCGGCGGGGACGAAACGGUCCGUGACAACACCACGGACUAAUGACGGUACUCGCAGAAGAAGCACCGGCUAACUACGUGCCAGCAGCCGCGGUAAUACGUAGGGUGCAGGCGUUAAUCGGAAUUACUGGGCGUAAAGCGUGCGCAGGCGGCUCCUUAAGUCAGAUGUGAAAUCCCCGGGCUUAACCUGGGAACUGCGUUUGAAACUGGGGAGCUUGAGUGUGGAAGAGGGGGGGGUGGAAUUCCAGGUGUAGCAGUGAAAUGCGUAGAGAUCUGGAGGAACACCGAUGGCGAAGGCAGCCCCCUGGGCUAACACUGACGCUCAUGCACGAAAGCGUGGGGAGCAAACAGGAUUA